UGAGGAAUAUUGGUCAAUGGACGCAAGUCUGAACCAGCCAUGCCGCAUGCAGGAUGACUGCCCUAUGGGUUGUAAACUGCUUUUAUAUAGGAAGAAACCCCUUUACGAGUAGAGGGCUGACGGUACUAUAAGAAUAANGACCGGCUAACUCCGUGCCAGCAGCCGCGGUAAUACGGAGGGUCCAAGCGUUAUCCGGAUUUAUUGGGUUUAAAGGGUACGUAGGCGGAAGUUUAAGUCAGUAGUGAAAGCCCAUCGCUUAACGAUGGAACUGCUAUUGAUACUGAAUUUCUUGAAUAUAGUUGAAGUAGGCGGAAUACGACAUGUAGCGGUGAAAUGCAUAGAUAUGUCGUGGAACACCAAUUGCGAAGGCAGCUUACUAAGCUAUUAUUGACGCUAAUGUACGAAAGCGUGGGUAGCGAACAGGAUUAGAUACCCUGGUAGUCCACGCCGUAAACGAUGAUUACUCGGUGCUAGCGAUAUACUGUUAGUGCCUAAGCGAAAAGUGAUAAGUAAUCCACCUGGGGAGUACGAUCGCAAGGUUG
rnacentral:rRNA from 1 species